rnacentral:piRNA from 1 species
UCACAGUGAACUGAUGCUUGUGAUGCUCGC